CGUGUAGGCGGUUUAGUAAGUCGGUCGUGAAAUCCCUAGGCUUAACCUAGGAACUGCGAUCGAAACUGUUAGGCUAGAGUAUCGGAGGGGAUGGCGGAAUUCCUGGUGUAGAGGUGAAAUUCGUAGAUAUCAGGAGGAACACCUGUGGCGAAGGCGGCCAUCUGGAAGAUUACUGACGCUGAGCGCGAAAGCGUGGGGAGCAAACA
rnacentral:rRNA from 1 species